AUUGAACGCUGGCGGCAUGCCUUACACAUGCAAGUCGAACGGCAGCACGGGAGCUUGCUCCUGGUGGCGAGUGGCGAACGGGUGAGUAAUACAUCGGAACGUACCCUGAAGUGGGGGAUAACGUAGCGAAAGUUACGCUAAUACCGCAUAUUCUGUGAGCAGGAAAGAGGGGGAUCGCAAGACCUCUUGCUUUAGGAGCGGCCGAUGUCGGAUUAGCUAGUUGGUGAGGUAAAGGCUCACCAAGGCGACGAUCCGUAGCGGGUCUGAGAGGAUGAUCCGCCACACUGGGACUGAGACACGGCCCAGACUCCUACGGAGGCAGCAGUGGGGAAUUUUGGACAAUGGGCGCAAGCCUGAUCCAGCCAUGCCGCGUGAGUGAAGAAGGCCUUCGG
rnacentral:rRNA from 1 species